AUUGAACGCUGGCGGAAUGCUUUACACAUGCAAGUCGAACGGCAGCACGGACUUCGGUCUGGUGGCGAGUGGCGAACGGGUGAGUAAUGUAUCGGAACGUGCCCAGUCGUGGGGGAUAACGUAGUGAAAAUUACGCUAAUACCGCAUACGAUCUAUGGAUGAAAGCGGGGGAUCGCAAGACCUCGCGCGAUUGGAGCGGCCGAUAUCAGAUUAGGUAGUUGGUGGGGUAAAGGCCCACAAAGCCAACGAUCUGUAGCUGGUCUGAGAGGACGACCAGCCACACUGGAACUGAGACACGGUCCAGACUCCUACGGGAGGCAGCAGUGGGGAAUUUUGGACAAUGGCGAAAGCCUGAUCCAGCCAUUCCGCGUGCAGGAUGAAGGCCCUCGGGUUGUAAACUGCUUUUGUACAGAACGAAAAGGUUUCCACUAAUACUAGGAGCUCAUGACGGUACUGUAAGAAUAAGCACCGGCUAACUACGUGCCAGCCGCCGCGGUAA
rnacentral:rRNA from 1 species